CCUACGGGUGGCUGCAGUGGGGAAUAUUGGACAAUGGGCGAAAGCCUGAUCCAGCCAUGCCGCGUGUGUGAAGAAGGCCUUCGGGUUGUAAAGCACUUUCAGUGGGGAAGAAAGCCUUGGGGCUAAUACCCUCGAGGAAGGACAUCACCCACAGAAGAAGCACCGGCUAACUCCGUGCCAGCAGCCGCGGUAAUACGGAGGGUGCGAGCGUUAAUCGGAAUUACUGGGCGUAAAGCGCGCGUAGGCGGUCUGAUAAGCCGGUUGUGAAAGCCCCGGGCUCAACCUGGGAACGGCAUCUGGAACUGUCAGGCUAGAGUGCAGGAGAGGAAGGUAGAAUUCCCGGUGUAGCGGUGAAAUGCGUAGAGAUCGGGAGGAAUACCAGUGGCGAAGGCGGCCUUCUGGACUGACACUGACGCUGAGGUGCGAAAGCGUGGGUAGCAAACAGGAUUAGAUACCCGAGUAGUC
rnacentral:rRNA from 1 species